rnacentral:lncRNA from 1 species
GCUGGGGGCUGGGGGCCAGGGGAGUGUGCAGGCCAAGAAGCUGUGCUUAAAAUAGCCCCACGCAUCCACCAGCUCCUGGCCUGGGUUCAGGUGGCAUGUCUAUAACCAGCUGGCACCCAGAGCCCAGACUGAGUGGGGCUGCUGGUCAGGGAUGGGCGUGAAGGGCAGAAGUCUGGGCCAGGGGAGAUGGGGAUAGCAGGGACAGAGGGGCUCUCCAGGGCAAGGCUCAGUGGCCUCAUCAGCCAUUCUCUGCUCAGACAGAGGCACAAACAAAAUCCCAACCCCUUUCUCCUGUGAUUGGCAGCCAGGCUAGGAGGGGGCCCUCAGCAGGCAGAGGAGGAGAGCCAGAGGAGCUGGUGCAGACCACAGCUUUGCGGAGAGGAGUCUGGCCUUGUGGAAGUGGGAAUCACUGGAGACUUUGAAGCAUGGUCAUAUUUUCAAGUCACUUGCAGCUGUGUAGGAGUGGAAGUAGAAGAUGCAGGAGCAGCUGUCAGUAGACAGAUAAGAAAAGGAGAUCAGAUUCAAAGUUCCGCAGAGAAGUGGUGAGGUAACCAGUAUUGCCUAGCCUGGACACACAGGCAGCUUGAAACCUCAAGUGCACCAACAGAAAGAGCUCCAGGAAGAAUCAGAGGAGUGGGAUGUGAAGCCCCUCGAGGUUAUCCAAAAUAACCCAGAGUAUGAAAACCAGGAAAAUCUCAACAUGGGAGAAAAGAAGAUGAUCAAUACAUGCCCAUCCUGAGAUGAUUCAACUAUUGGAAUGAUCAGAUACAGACUUCAAAGCAGCUAUUUAUAACCAGCCUUCAGAAAGUAUUGGUGAAUAUUCUUAAACAAAAUGGAAAUGACAAAGGAUGGAGUCCAUAAAUUAGAUGAUAGUUUGGAAAAAGAUAUAAACUUACAAACCAAGAAGCUCAGUGAACCACACAACUGGAUAAAUUAACAACAAAAGUCCAAGCUUAGACACAUCAUAAAGAAACUUCUGAAAACUAAAGACCAAGAAAAAUAAGAUCAGCCAGAGAAAAACGAUACAUUUCAUUCAGGUGAACAAUUCUUUGAAAGACUGGAUCUUCACCAGAAACUAUAGAGGCCAGAAAGAAGUGGAACAUUUUUAGUUUUGAAAUAAUUGUCACCCAAGAAUUCUAUAUCCAGUAAAAAUUUCUAUUUUACUGGAAUAAAAGAAUGAAAUAAAAUAAAGACAUUCUCAAAUGAAGGCAAGCUGAGGAAAUUCAUAACCAAAGAAUCUGCUUUAAAAAAAUGUUAAACCAAGUUCUUCAGACAGAAGAGGUUACUGGGGGCAAUUCAAAACUUUGGGAAUGCAGGAAGAACAUCAUAAAUGGCAAAAGUCCACAUAAAUAUGAAACUAUUCUUUACUUCUUUAAGAGUUAUGUGAUGGUUGAAUUAAGUCAUGAUACUGUCUGAUGGAGGCUUCAGUGUAUACAGAUGUAAGACAACUAGAACAUGAGGGGAGAAGGGUGAAGGGACCUAGAUGGUAGUGAGGUUUCUACAUGCUACUUGAAAUGGCAAAACAUUAAUCUAAAUUGACUGUAAGAGUAUGUGUAUUUGGCCGGGCAGGGUGGCUCAUGCCUGUAAUCCCAGCAUUUUGGGAGGCCAAGGUGGGUGGAUCACCUAAAGUCAGGAGUUCGGGACUAGCCUGACCAACAUGGCAAAACCCUGUCUCUAUUAAAAAUACAAAAUUAGCCAGGUGUGGUGGUGCAUGCCUGUAAUCCCAGCUACUCGGGAGGCUGAGGCAGGAGAAUCGUUUGAAAUCGGGAGGCAGAGGUUGCAGUGAGCCAGAUUGUGCCAUUGCACUCCAACCUGGGCGACAAGAGCGAAACUCC